GGGUUUAGUCUUCGGGGUCGGGAGCAGAGGUGGGGUAGAGCGGCGACGGUCUGGAUUGGGAGCGGAGGCGGCGGUCUGGAUUGGGAGCGGCGGUGGCGACGGCGGCGUCGUCGCCAGCGGCGGAAACAGCAGGGUGAGGCGACGAGGUCCGGCCGCGUAGGUGGGAACUCUGACGUGUAGGGGAGCAAAGAACAUGGAAGAGAUAGGAGAGCGGCCAGUUCGCUUGGUGUGGAACAGGAGGAGCGCGGAUGCGCGUCGGAGUGGUGCUCGGGCUCGCGCGGAAGGAGUGUAGCAGUGGUGGCAGCUAGGAGGUGUGGUUCUUCGGCCGCCGAUGAAAGACAACUCUCUGCGUAGGACUUGUUACUCUCUGGUCCACUCACCACCGAGGUACCUGUACCUCAUGAUACGUAGCCCAACUGCUUGAGAGGUCCCGCGAGUGGCUAGAACCGAAAACAAGACUGGAACACAUGUACUUCCGUGUACCUAGUGGAUUAAAGUUGAGACUGCGUCUCGUUAUUUUACUAAAUCCUUCGUAACUCGUUCAACGUGAUGUUCAUAUGCCUCGUAGUAGUUACGUUGUCUCCGACGCUGUUAUUAAUUCAAUUCCAACAGUGAGCUACCGUUUUUCAACGUAGUAUAGGAAGGUUUACGUCUUAGUUGAACCUACUUUGACGAACGGUAUAACGGUGAAGUGACAAAUCAACUUUGAUAAGAUACAGCCCUGUGUGUAGGAGAACUCUAACAUAUGAUGAUAAAGGAGUUUCCAAUUCUUCUCGUAGAACGUUGGAUUCGAGGUCGUUUUGUAACAUCUUUUACCAGAGUUUAACACUUAUAAAUCAACUACGUGCACACGUAAAAACUCUUCAACAUGGAGACAAAAACAACUGAAAACUAAGUACAUACAUUUAAGAUACGUCAAUAUAGUCUUCUAUACACUUAAACAUUGAAUAAUAAGCAUCUUUUUAAGUUCUAAGCCCCAGAUACUCUCUAAGUUCUCGAAGAUUAGUUCCCGUUGGAACUUCUCUUCGAACGUUGAAUUCGACCGUUGAUUUCUAAUAUCUUUUACUUCAGAUAACACAUAUAAAUCAACUACGUGAACACACAAAAAUCUACAACUUGGAGACAAAAGCAACUGGAAGGUAAGUAAUACAUUUAAGAUACGUUAACAUAGGCUUCUGUACACUUAAACAUAGAGACCAACUUCCUUUGUUAACUAUCACUACAAAGAUAAGACCUUAUCG
rnacentral:rRNA from 1 species